rnacentral:rRNA from 1 species
AACGAACGCUGGCGGCAUGCCUAACACAUGCAAGUCGAACGAGCCCUUCGGGGCUAGUGGCGCACGGGUGCGUAACGCGUGGGAACCUGCACUUAGGUUCGGAAUAACUACCAGAAAGGGGUGCUAAUACCGGAUAAUGUCUUCGGACCAAAGAUUUAUCGCCUUUGGAUGGGCCCGCGUUGGAUUAGCUAGUUGGUAGGGUAAAAGCCUACCAAGGCGACGAUCCAUAGCUGGUCUGAGAGGAUGAUCAGCCACACUGGGACUGAGACACGGCCCAGACUCCUACGGGAGGCAGCAGGGGGGAAUAUUGGACGAUGGGCGAAAGCCUGAUCCAGCAAUGCCGCAUGAGUGAUGAAGUCCUUAGGGUUGUAAAGCUCUUUUACCCGGGAUGAUAAUGACAGUACCGGGAGAAUAAGCUCCGGCUAACUCCGUG